rnacentral:rRNA from 1 species
UACAGAGGUCCCAAGCGUUGUUCGGAUUCACUGGGCGUAAAGGGUGCGUAGGCGGUCGGGUAAGUCUGAUGUGAAAUCUCACAGCUUAACUGUGAAACUGCAUUGGAUACUAUUCGGCUUGAGAGUUGGAGGGGGGACUGGAAUUCUUGGUGUAGCAGUGAAAUGCGUAGAUAUCAAGAGGAACACCAGUGGCGAAGGCGAGUCCCUGGACAACUUCUGACGCUGAGGCACGAAAGCCAGGGGAGCAAACGGG